AGAACCACCAAAAGGGGUGAUGACCAGCGAUCUCAUGAGAAGUCUGGAUGUUAGUUCUCAUGCCUCGGGACACCCAGUUGGGAACGCCACACCAGCUCCUGGGAUCCGACUUCCAUCCACUUAAUACCCUUUUUUGCCUGAACUACUAGAGCCAGUCCUAGCUAACCACGAAUGGCUACCCAAAGGAAACAUUUGGUGAAAGAUUUCAAUCCUUACAUCACCUGCUAUAUCUGUAAAGGGUAUCUCAUCAAGCCAACUACAGUGACGGAAUGCCUUCAUACCUUCUGCAAGACUUGUAUUGUCCAGCACUUUGAAGAUAGCAAUGAUUGUCCAAGGUGUGGCAACCAGGUUCAUGAGACAAACCCAUUAGAAAUGUUGAGGUUGGAUAACACACUAGAGGAAAUUAUAUUUAAGUUGGUUCCUGGACUACGAGAACAAGAACUUGAGCGUGAGUCUGAAUUUUGGAAGAAAAAUAAGCCUCAAGAAAAUGGACAAGAUGAUAUGUCAAAAGCUGACAAGCCUAAAGCAGAUGAAGAAGGUGAUGAAAACCAAGAUGAUAAAGACUAUCACAGAAGUGACCCACAAAUUGCUAUAUGUCUAGAUUGUUUACGAAAUAAUGGACAAUCAGGGGACAACGUAGUAAAGGGGUUAAUGAAGAAAUUCAUUCGGUGUUCUACACGUGUAACUGUGGGAACUAUUAAAAAAUUUCUAAGUUUAAAACUAAAACUUCCAAGUUCUUAUGAGUUGGAUGUGCUGUGCAAUGGUGAAAUUAUGGGGAAGGAUCAUACUAUGGAGUUCAUCUACAUGACCAGAUGGCGACUAAGAGGCGAAAACUUUCGGUGUCUGAACUGCUCAGCUUCGCAAGUCUGCCCUCAGGAUGGCCCUUUGUAUCAGUCAUACCCCAUGGUGUUGCAGUAUCGACCAAGAAUUGAUUUCGGUUAGACCAAGGGGCCCAGACCCCACUGAUGAACCCCGCACUAUGUGUUACUCAUCGACAGACUGCACAGUGAAAGAAUCAAGUGAAACAUGAAAUACUGGGUCCAGUUUUCUUCCAUUUUUCAGAGCUUCAUGGAAUAAGAAACGAAUCUAGUGUAAACUGAAGAUUAAGUGUUUCUGGGCAGUGCAGAGACGGUGGAUAGAUUAUGUGUCUGUGGACUCCACAUCAGUCCAGCACAGCAGGCGUUCUGCACAUUAGAAAUGGAAUGGGAUCAGCCUAACGUUGUUCGGGGGCAGUUUUCUUUUGCUGUAUUUUUUUGAAUGGGGAUAGGGGCCCAAGUGUCCUUAUGAAGCUGUGGUCGGCGACAAGAGCUUAUGGGGGGAGCACCAGUGUUCUGCGCUUCCUGCUUCUGGCAGCACAGCAGCAAGCACCAGUUCUUAACAGAGUAGCCCUCACGUUAAAUUAAACCAUCAUAGACUAUACUGUACAGUUCUGUUGCUAAUUUUCCUUUGAAAUAUGAAAUAUUUUAAGCUUUCUUUUUGUCAAAAGUGGUAACAUCUUAAUACAAAUAAAAACCUUUUUGUGGUUGUAAGAUUUAGCUUAUGAAUCAUUCAAAUUGAAGUGAAAGAUUACCAGGUCAUUGUUAAUGACUUAGUCUAUUAAGAAUAUAUGUAUUUUUGUAAAGGGAAAGCACUUGUAGAUAUUUAAUCAGUACUAUAUGUCUGUUUUGCAGAAAUAAAAUGCUGCUUAGAGAUUCUCUUUAAAUAUUUUUUAUUUUUGUGCUCAAAUGUAUUUUCUGUUGAUCUAUGGAAUGUUCUGUACAAAGCUGUAUGGUUGUACUGUUGGGCUAGAUACUUUUGUUUUUUAAAAUCUGGACUUAGCCAAGUAUAUUUGACCAUGUUAAAAAUAGUAUCUUUGUUAUUAAAAACUU